AGCGAACGCUGGCGGCAGGCCUAACACAUGCAAGUCGAACGAACCUUUCGGGGUUAGUGGCGGACGGGUGAGUAACACGUGGGAACGUGCCUUUAGGUUCGGAAUAACUCAGGGAAACUUGUGCUAAUACCGAAUGUGCCCUUCGGGGGAAAGAUUUAUCGCCUUUAGAGCGGCCCGCGUCUGAUUAGCUAGUUGGUGGAGGUAAUGGCUCACAAAGGCGACGAUCAGUAGCUGGUCUGAGAGGAUGAUCAGCAACAUUGGGACUGAGACACGGCCCAAACUCCUACGGGAGGAAGCAGUGGGGAAUCUUGCGCAAUGGGCGAAAGCCUGACGCAGCCAUGCCGCGUGAAUGAUGAAGGUCUUAGGAUUGUAAAAUUCUUUCACCGGGGACGAUAAUGACGGUACCCGGAGAAGAAGCCCCGGCUAACUUCGUG
rnacentral:rRNA from 1 species